AGCAGUAGCCACGGUAAUACGAAGGGUGCAAGCGUUAAUCGGAAUUACUGGGCGUAAAGCGUGCGUAGGCGGUGAGUUAAGUCUGCUGUGAAAUCCCCGGGCUCAACCUGGAAAUGGCAGUGGAUACUGGCUCGCUAAAGUGUGUCAGAGGAUGGUGGAAUUCCCGGUGUAGCGGUGAAAUGCGUAGAGAUCGGGAGGAACAUCAGUGGCGAAGGCGGCCAUCUGGGGCAACACUGACGUUGAGGCACGAAAGCGUGGGGAGCAAACAGGAUUAGAUACCCGAGUAGUCCCUGUCUCUUAUAC
rnacentral:rRNA from 1 species